AUUGAACGCUGGCGGCAGGCCUAACACAUGCAAGUCGAACGAGUGGCGGACUGGUGAGUAAUGUCUGGGAAACUGCCCGAUGGAGGGGGAUAACUACUGGAAACGGUAGCUAAUACCGCAUACCAUCGGAUGUGCCCAGAUGGGAUUAGCUAGUAGGUGGGGUACAGGCUCACCUAGGCGACGAUCCCUACCUGGUCUGAGAGGAUGACCAGCCACACUGGAACUGGGACACGGUCCAGACUCCUACGGGGGGCAGGAGUGGGGAAUAUUGCACAAUGGGCGCAAGCCUGAUGCAGCCAGGCCGCGUGUAUGAAGAAGGCUUUCGGGUUGUAAAGUACUUUCAGCGAGGAGGCGUUACGCGCAGAAGAAGCACCGGCUAACUCCGUGCCAGCAGCCGCGGUAAUUC
rnacentral:rRNA from 1 species